AUGGAGGACACAUUCUCUUGGCCGCAUGAUCCAUCGGGUUUAUACACGGCCAGAUCCACUUACAUGAUGCUCAACCAAGGAGCGAUCGGAUCGCCUACAGUUGUGGCGAUUUGGCGCAGUUGGGCGCCGUUAAAGUGCAAGAUCUUUGCCUGGCUUGCGGCGCAGCACCGAUUGUGGACAUCGGACAGACGGGUACGACAUGGACUGCAGGACAACCCAUCGCCUUGUUACACUUGUUUGCAGGACGAGGACACGGUUGAGCAUAUCUUGGUGCAAUGUGUCUAUGCUAGACAGGUGUGGUACAAGUGCUUUGACUCCCUGGAAAUCGACAUCCCCCACCCUAACAGCACGGACACAUUUGCCGAUUGGUGGUUAAGGGCACGAGCUGGCUUUCAAGGGAAGCAAAAGCGAGGCUUCGAUUCACUCGUCAUUGCUGCAGCUUGGUUGCUAUGGAAGCAGAGGAACGCUAAGGUUUUCAACCGACCGGAACAAGUUAAGGACUGCAAUGAGUUAGCUAGAGCCAUCUUUGAUGAAAUUCGCGAUUGGCAUAGUGCAGAGAUCCCAUUUAUAUAUUGCACCAGCCACCAGUUCUGGAGACGAUGCAGAUCAAGUCGAUCAUCCCACGUCGUCCACACGUUCGACGAACCGUCUCACGGGAUGCUGCUCCGCAGAACGAGCUCAUGUUUCUCUCCUUAUAAGGGGGCCGUCCAAGGCCCAGGCCAGGCCGUCCAAGUUCCAGCCCUAUUCCCCCGAACGAACAGCCCCUCUAUUUCCUUCCUACGCGAGGCGCCGCCGUUUGGCCUCCGCGAUGCGCCGUCGCCGUCAGGAAGCUUCUACUGCAUGAGCACGACUGAGUCCGCGUCGGUGCUGUUCACCCUCAUGUACUCUUCCUCCGGAUCCCCUUCUUUACUUGUUUUUAAUUUCAUGUCUUGCAGCGCUCCUCCAUGGCAGCGCGGCGCCCGCCCCCGUCAUCGUUGUCCAUCACCGGCUGUCCUUCUACUGCAUCCGCCUCCAUGCCUUGCAGCUACAUUGCAGAUGAAUUUAGAACUUGCAGUUUCACAACGAAGGCCUCGAGCGCAGGGUACCACGCGAGGGAAAAAAGCCCACCGCACCGCGCCGCGCGCGGGGGUGCAGCGCACCACGCGAGCGAAAAAACCACCGCACCACGCUCGUCGCGUGAUAAAAGGUGAGCGGGCAGCAGACCUAGCCCACCCCGCGACCCUCGUUCCUCAUGUGCCGCCGCCGCCCCCCGCCCGCGAUGGAGAAAGUGAGAGGAAAGAGGAGAGGGAGGUGAGGCAGCAGACAGGAGAGGGUCACCGGCUGCUGUCGGCCUGCGCCGGCGAGGUCGGGCGCGACCUGGCGGUUGGUGGCGGCUCGAUCCGCUCCUGGAUCGGGAGAGGAGGAAGGGAGAGUAUGGUGGUUGGAUUUGGUUCUCUUGGUGGUGUCUUCCCUACCAUCUCAUUUUUUUCGUGGCCAGCAGGAGGAGUAGGAGGAGGAAGGGAGGAUGAGGAAGUAGACCAGCAGGAGGAAGAGAGGAUCUCGGGACGCGCUCCUUAUUGGACUUACUGUAGUAUAAACAGGUACAUGUUGUGCAGCUCAUGCUUUUUUCUCUUGCCAUCAUUGAUACUGCUUGGUAGCUUUCUUCUUGUUCAGGAAAUGGUCACGUCUUGGGUGGGCCAUGACACAUCCGGCCUGGCCGUAGCUCCGCCGGUGCUUCCUUGGUUUCCCGCAUGCCUCAUUUUUUCUCUGUCAAGGAAGGAUUUUUCUGUUCUAUGUUCUUUGGUUGAUGUUUCUUUUUCCUUGUACUGGAGUGUAAGAGAUGAAUGGCAUGUCUGUGAUAUGAUGAUUAGUAUGAUGGUGGCCUUACAGGUUGUGCACCAUAUGUUCUUAGAACCAGAUUUGCUAGCCUGUGGAAUUUGGGUUAUUUCACUGUAUAUAUAUGCUGAUGUCAAGUGGCCUAUCAAUAUUUGCUUGCUUGUUAUUUGUCCUUGUUCCCUGCUUUGCUUCUUAGGUUUUGCAGAUAGCCUGACAGGAUGUACUAAAGCAGCAAUUGUUGUUAGCUGUGUAUUUGGAGGUUGCGCAUGCCUUGCCUUUAGCUUUGUGGAAUAUUUAGAUCGCGGCGAUAGGGGAAUCCACAUUUCUCUUUGCUUCCAUGUCCACAGGAGAAAAUUGCUAAACAUUUUGGCAUCCCAAGAUUUCCUCCCCACGGUAUGCAGUGGCUCAAGGAAGCUGAAGAGGAAGGCUAAGAUGAUGAAGAAGAGUAGAGUCGGAGUGGAAUGCAUCGUUCUGCAAUUUGGGUGGUUUCCUGGUGAGUUUGCACUUUGCACCCAGGAAGAUUUGGAAGCUCGAAAUUUGUUUGUACAAAAACAUAACUCCAGCGAUUUGGGAAGUGGCAACUCAAGGAAGCUGAGGAGGACGAAGAUGAUGAGGAUGGCGAACAAGGGUAGAGUCGAGAGGAAUGCAUCUUGCUGCAAUUUGGUUGGUUUCUUGGGAGAGCAAUCAUGGAUUCGCUACGGCAUCGACGCCCCAUCUCAAGGUGUGGAAAUUGUUCUUACCUUGAGUCCUAUCCCUAGCCUUGAACAACAUCUCUCUAAAUCCAUCCCUGAUCUGCAACACCUUUUUUUGGGAGGUUGCAGAGAAGCCUCUUCCCGCACAUGGAUAUUGAUCAUGAUGAGAUACCAAUCAGGAGACGGGACCACCAGUGUCAUGGCCUGCUUUAUCAAGAGUGUCGACAACAGGGCUACACUCACAAAGAACUGGAGCAGCCUCUUCCAUAAGGCGAACAUGAAGAAAGGGAGCAGCUUCUACCUGUCGAAGCAACCACGUGAGCAUGAGGAGGAGGAGGAGGAUUCGGCGGCGGGGGAGUACGAGUACGUGGAUCUCGAGGACGGACAAGGCGGCAAGCAUGCCGGCGGUUGCGGCGUGGACUCUGGCGACCCCCUCUUGACCACUGUCAUCGGCAUCUUCUUCAUGCUACUGGGCUGCUUCUACCUGUUUUGCCCCUGCGACCUCCAGCCCGGCGCAGCAGGGCGGAGGGCGCCGUCGUGGUAA
rnacentral:rRNA from 1 species